rnacentral:piRNA from 1 species
UAUUAAUUUUACGAAACGGUG